AUUGAACGCUGGCGGCAUGCUUUACACAUGCAAGUCGAACGGACUUAGGGGCUUGCUCCUGAGUUAGUGGCGAACGGGUGAGUAAUGCAUCGGAACGUACCGUGUAGUGGGGGAUAACGCAGCGAAAGUUGUGCUAAUACCGCAUACGAUCUACGGAUGAAAGCAGGGGAUCGCAAGACCUUGUGCUAUACGAGCGGCCGAUGUCGGAUUAGCUAGUUGGUGAGGUAAAGGCUCACCAAGGCGACGAUCCGUAGCGGGUCUGAGAGGAUGAUCCGCCACACUGGGACUGAGACACGGCCCAGACUCCUACGGGAGGCAGCAGUGGGGAAUUUUGGACAAUGGGCGCAAGCCUGAUCCAGCCAUGCCGCGUGAGUGAAGAAGGCCUC
rnacentral:rRNA from 1 species